ACAUUUUCUUUUGUGAACUUUUAACUUCAAUGGUUCCAGCAAGUAAUGUAUGUGGUCAAUGCUAUUUUUAUCCCUCAUCAGUGUGUCAGUUUUCUUAAGAGAUGAUAUUUGACGUACAGGGUUAAUUAAUUGAAGUAUUGUUAUUUACUUAGCAGCCUGCUGUAGAAAUCAUUGGCUUUAGAAUGGGUGAGCUCAGGGGUCUUUCAAGAUGGCGUUCUUGUUAUCUAGGUAUUGGUUCGGAUGAGACACUGGCGGAUAAUGCAGUGGAAAAGGCUGGAAUGUUGCUUGUACAGGUUGAGUGAGGGUGCUCUCAUCUGUUGUGAAGCCGUUUGCAAAUUUCUUCAGCUGGCUUUUGAAAUGUAUAAAACAAUCGAUGUCAGAGCCAAGUGAUCAACUUUUAACAUACAAUAGUGUUCUUGAAGUUUCUA